rnacentral:rRNA from 1 species
GUGAGGAAUCUUGCGCAAUGGGCGAAAGCCUGACGCAGCAACGCCGCGUGGAUGAUGAAGGCCUUCGGGUCGUAAAAUCCUGUCGGGUGGGAAGAAAUGACAUCGGACUAACACUCCGAUGUCUUGACUGUACCACCAGAGGAAGCCCCGGCUAACUCCGUGCCAGCAGCCGCGGUAAUACGGAGGGGGCCAGCGUUGUUCGGAAUUAUUGGGCGUAAAGGGCGCGUAGGCGGUUAUGCAAGUCGGUUGUGAAAUCCCCUGGCUUACCCAGGGAACUGCUUCCGAUACUGCAUGACUUGAGUCCGGGAGAGGAGAGUGGAAUUCCCAGUGUAGCGGUGGAAUGCGUAGAUAUUGGGAGGAACACCGGUGGCGAAGGCGGCUCUCUGGACCGGUACUGACGCUGAGGCGCGAAAGCCAGGGGAGCAAACAGGAUUAGAUACCCUUGUAGUCC